GUGGUGCUGAGGUGUAAAUGUGUGUGCGCUGUGUAAAUGUGGUGCAGCUGAGUAAAUGUGGUGUAAAUGUGUAAAUGUGGUGCAGCUGAGGUGUAAAUGUGGUGCAGCUGAGGUGUAAAUGUGGUGCAGCUGUGGUGUAAAUGUGGUGCAGCUGAGGUGUAAAUGUGGGUGCUGUGGUGUAAAUGUGGUGCAGCUGAGGUGUAAAUGUGGUGUAAAUGUGGUGUAAAUGUGGUGCAGCUGAGGUGUAAAUGUGGUGCAGCUAAGGUGUAAAUGUGGUGCAGCUGAGGUGUAAAUGUGGUAGCUGAGGUGUAAAUGUGGUGCAGCUGAGGUGUAAAUGUGGUGUAGCUGAGGUGUAAAUGUGGUGCAGCUGAGGUGUAAAUGUGGUGCAGCUGAGGUGUAAAUGUGUGCAGCUGAGGUGUAAAUGUGGUGCAGCUGAGGUGUAAAUGUGGUGCAGCUGUGGUGUAAAUGUGGUGCAGCUGAGCUGUAAAUGUGGUGUAAAUGUGGUGCAGCUGAGGUGUAAAUGUGGUGCAGCUGUGGUGUAAAUGUGGUGUAAAUGUGGUGCAGCUGAGGUGUAAAUGUGGUGUG
ensembl:lncRNA